rnacentral:lncRNA from 1 species
CUCCUUUUUGUUUUUGCAAUUAGAUUUUUUUCUUUCUAUUUCGAUUUAUUUUAUUUCAUUCCUAUUCUCCUUUCUCAGAAAAAGGGUCUUUAUCCAAAGUAAAAGAUUACUUCGUUCUUGAUAGUUAGUUACUUACUUAGUGGAUAGGAACAUACUCUGGAUCAGAAUCAUGGGGAGUACUUCUUGAUCAUUUCUACGAACGUAAAUCCCCAAUUUGAAUUCCUUUUAUGUACAGAAAUAUCCUCUUGGAUAACUUACAUAAUCUCAAUUACUAAUCCUUUGUGUAUCUUGGUCUUCCUAACCAUCCACUCAUUUUUUGUUUCAAAAACCUCCCGUUGUGGAAAUCCAUCUAUGGUAAUAGACAGUAAAAACUCAAUAGAGUUGGUCUUUUGAACCCGCUUCAAGCUAUCAUGACAAUUCACGAAUCUUGGGGUAAACAAUCUCUCUUGCUUAUGUUUACUUUUUUCACCAUUUGAUUCUUGUACAUAGGAAAUGAGACUCGACUUUUUUACCGCAAACUUAGAAGUUGUUUUCUUUCACUCAUAUAACUAUC